rnacentral:rRNA from 1 species
UACAGAGGGUGCAAGCGUUGUUCGGAAUUAUUGGGCGUAAAGCGCACGUAGGCGGUUUGUUAAGUCGGAUGUGAAAUCCCUCGGCUCAACUGAGGAAGUGCAUCCGAAACUGGCAGGCUUGAGUACUAAAGAGGGUCGCGGAAUUCCCGGUGUAGAGGUGAAAUUCGUAGAUAUCGGGAGGAACACCGGUGGCGAAGGCGGCGACCUGGGUAGAUACUGACGCUGAGGUGCGAAAGCGUGGGGAGCAAACAGG